rnacentral:rRNA from 1 species
AACGAACGCUGGCGGCAGGCCUAACACAUGCAAGUCGAGCGCGCCCGUCAGGGUGAGCGGCGGACGGGUGAGUAACGCGUGGGAACGUGCCCUUUUCUACGGAAUAGCCUCGGGAAACUGAGAGUAAUACCGUAUACGCCCUUUGGGGGAAAGAUUUAUCGGAAAAGGAUCGGCCCGCGUUGGAUUAGGUAGUUGGUGGGGUAAUGGCCUACCAAGCCGACGAUCCAUAGCUGGUUUGAGAGGAUGAUCAGCCACACUGGGACUGAGACACGGCCCAGACUCCUACGGGAGGCAGCAGUGGGGAAUCUUAGACAAUGGGGGCAACCCUGAUCUAGCCAUGCCGCGUGAGUGAUGAAGGCCUUAGGGUUGUAAAGCUCUUUCAGCUGGGAAGAUAAUGACGGUACCAGCAGAAGAAGCCCCGGCUAACUCCGUG